rnacentral:rRNA from 1 species
UACGUAGGGUGCGAGCGUUAAUCGGAAUUACUGGGCGUAAAGCGUGCGCAGGCGGUUCGUUGUGUCGGCGGUGAAAGCCCCGGGCUUAACCUGGGAAUGGCCGUCGAAACUGGCGAACUGGAGUGUGGCAGAGGGGGGUGGAAUUCCUGGUGUAGCGGUGAAAUGCGCAGAUAUCAGGAGGAACACCGGUGGCGAAGGCGGGUCUCUGGGCCGAAACUGACGCUGAGGAGCGAAAGCGUGGGGAGCAAACAGG